GGAGUUGUGCCUGAAGUUUAAGGGCCACUUUGAUAGAGUGAAUUAUAAGGGUUAGAGUCCCUUCAACUCCU
rnacentral:tRNA from 1 species